rnacentral:rRNA from 1 species
GAGGGUGCAAGCGUUGUCCGGAAUCAUUGGGCGUAAAGAGUUCGUAGGCGGUAUGUUAAGUCUGGUGUUAAAUGCAGAAGCUCAACUUCUGUUCGGCACUGGAUACUGGCAAACUAGAAUGCGGUAGAGGUAAAGGGAAUUCCUGGUGUAGCGGUGAAAUGCUUAGAUAUCAGGAGGAACAUCGGUGGCGUAAGCGCUUUACUGGGCCGUAAUUGACGCUGAGGAACGAAAGCCAGGGUAGCA